rnacentral:rRNA from 1 species
GAAUCUUGGACAAUGGGGGCAACCCUGAUCCAGCGACGCCGCGUGGGUGAUGAAGGCCUUCGGGUUGUAAAGCCCUUUCACCGGGGACGAUGAUGACGGUACCCGGAGAAGAAGCACCGGCUAACUCCGUGCCAGCAGCCGCGGUAAGACGGAGGGUGCUAGCGUUGUUCGGAAUCACUGGGCGUACAGGGCGCGUAGGCGGCUUUGGCAGUCGGAUGUGAAAGCCCGGGGCUCAACCUCGGAGGUGCAUCCGAUACUCCACGGCUCGAGUCCGGAAGAGGAGGGUGGAAUACCCAGUGUAGAGGUGAAAUUCGUAGAUAUUGGGUGGAACACCGGUGGCGAAAGCGGCUCUCUGGUCCGGUACUGACGCUGAGGCGCGAAAGCGUGGGGAGCAAACAGG